rnacentral:rRNA from 2 species
GGGUUGUGAGGUUAAGCGACUAAGCGUACACGGUGGAUGCCCUGGCAGUCAGAGGCGAUGAAGGGCGUGCUAAUCUGCGAUAAGCGCCGGUAAGGUGAUAUGAACCGUUAUAACCGGCGAUACCCGAAUGGGGAAACCCAGUGUGAUUCGUCACACUAUCAUUAACUGAAUCCAUAGGUUAAUGAGGCGAACCGGGGGAACUGAAACAUCUAAGUACCCCGAGGAAAAGAAAUCAACCGAGAUUCCCCCAGUAGCGGCGAGCGAACGGGGAGGAGCCCAGAGCCUGAAUCAGCAUGUGUGUUAGUGGAAGCGUCUGGAAAGGCGCGCGAUACAGGGUGACAGCCCCGUACACAAAAGCGCAUGUGCUGUGAGCUCGAUGAGUAGGGCGGGACACGUGGUAUCCUGUCUGAAUAUGGGGGGACCAUCCUCCAAGGCUAAAUACUCCUGACUGACCGAUAGUGAACCAGUACCGUGAGGGAAAGGCGAAAAGAACCCCGGCGAGGGGAGUGAAAAAGAACCUGAAACCGUGUACGUACAAGCAGUGGGAGCACAGGUUUACCUGUGUGACUGCGUACCUUUUGUAUAAUGGGUCAGCGACUUAUAUUCUGUAGCAAGGUUAACCGAAUAGGGGAGCCGGAGGGAAACCGAGUCUUAAUUGGGCGUUAAGUUGCAGGGUAUAGACCCGAAACCCGGUGAUCUAGCCAUGGGCAGGUUGAAGGUUGGGUAACACUAACUGGAGGACCGAACCGACUAAUGUUGAAAAAUUAGCGGAUGACCUGUGGCUGGGGGUGAAAGGCCAAUCAAACCGGGAGAUAGCUGGUUCUCCCCGAAAGCUAUUUAGGUAGCGCCUCGUGAAUUCAUCUCCGGGGGUAGAGCACUGUUUCGGCUAGGGGGCCAUCCCGGCUUACCAACCCGAUGCAAACUGCGAAUACCGGAGAAUGUUAUCACGGGAGACACACGGCGGGUGCUAACGUCCGUCGUGAAGAGGGAAACAACCCAGACCGCCAGCUAAGGUCCCAAAGUCAUGGUUAAGUGGGAAACGAUGUGGGAAGGCCCAGACAGCCAGGAUGUUGGCUUAGAAGCAGCCAUCAUUUAAAGAAAGCGUAAUAGCUCACUGGUCGAGUCGGCCUGCGCGGAAGAUGUAACGGGGCUAAACCAUGCACCGAAGCUGCGGCAGCGACGCUGAUGCGUUGUUGGGUAGGGGAGCGUUCUGUAAGCCUGUGAAGGUGGCCUGUGAGGGUUGCUGGAGGUAUCAGAAGUGCGAAUGCUGACAUAAGUAACGAUAAAGCGGGUGAAAAGCCCGCUCGCCGGAAGACCAAGGGUUCCUGUCCAACGUUAAUCGGGGCAGGGUGAGUCGACCCCUAAGGCGAGGCCGAAAGGCGUAGUCGAUGGGAAACGGGUUAAUAUUCCCGUACUUGGUGUUACUGCGAAGGGGGGACGGAGAAGGCUAUGUUGGCCGGGCGACGGUUGUCCCGGUUUAAGCGUGUAGGUGUGUGUUCCAGGUAAAUCCGGUUCACUUUAACACUGAGGCGUGACGACGAGGCACUACGGUGCUGAAGCAACAAAUGCCCUGCUUCCAGGAAAAGCCUCUAAGCAUCAGGUAACAUCAAAUCGUACCCCAAACCGACACAGGUGGUCAGGUAGAGAAUACCAAGGCGCUUGAGAGAACUCGGGUGAAGGAACUAGGCAAAAUGGUGCCGUAACUUCGGGAGAAGGCACGCUGACACGUAGGUGAAGUGAUUUACUCAUGGAGCUGAAGUCAGUCGAAGAUACCAGCUGGCUGCAACUGUUUAUUAAAAACACAGCACUGUGCAAACACGAAAGUGGACGUAUACGGUGUGACGCCUGCCCGGUGCCGGAAGGUUAAUUGAUGGGGUCAGCGCAAGCGAAGCUCCUGAUCGAAGCCCCGGUAAACGGCGGCCGUAACUAUAACGGUCCUAAGGUAGCGAAAUUCCUUGUCGGGUAAGUUCCGACCUGCACGAAUGGCGUAAUGAUGGCCAGGCUGUCUCCACCCGAGACUCAGUGAAAUUGAACUCGCUGUGAAGAUGCAGUGUACCCGCGGCAAGACGGAAAGACCCCGUGAACCUUUACUAUAGCUUGACACUGAACAUUGAGCCUUGAUGUGUAGGAUAGGUGGGAGGCUUUGAAGCGUGGACGCCAGUCUGCGUGGAGCCGACCUUGAAAUACCACCCUUUAAUGUUUGAUGUUCUAACGUGGACCCGUAAUCCGGGUUGCGGACAGUGUCUGGUGGGUAGUUUGACUGGGGCGGUCUCCUCCUAAAGAGUAACGGAGGAGCACGAAGGUUGGCUAAUCCUGGUCGGACAUCAGGAGGUUAGUGCAAUGGCAUAAGCCAGCUUGACUGCGAGCGUGACGGCGCGAGCAGGUGCGAAAGCAGGUCAUAGUGAUCCGGUGGUUCUGAAUGGAAGGGCCAUCGCUCAACGGAUAAAAGGUACUCCGGGGAUAACAGGCUGAUACCGCCCAAGAGUUCAUAUCGACGGCGGUGUUUGGCACCUCGAUGUCGGCUCAUCACAUCCUGGGGCUGAAGUAGGUCCCAAGGGUAUGGCUGUUCGCCAUUUAAAGUGGUACGCGAGCUGGGUUUAGAACGUCGUGAGACAGUUCGGUCCCUAUCUGCCGUGGGCGCUGGAGAACUGAGGGGGGCUGCUCCUAGUACGAGAGGACCGGAGUGGACGCAUCACUGGUGUUCGGGUUGUCAUGCCAAUGGCACUGCCCGGUAGCUAAAUGCGGAAGAGAUAAGUGCUGAAAGCAUCUAAGCACGAAACUUGCCCCGAGAUGAGUUCUCCCUGAGACUUAAAGUCUCCUGAAGGAACGUUGAAGACGACGACGUUGAUAGGCCGGGUGUGUAAGCGCAGCGAUGCGUUGAGCUAACCGGUACUAAUGAACCGUGAGGCUUAACCUUACAACGCCGAAG